UACGUAGGUGGCAAGCGUUGUCCGGAAUUAUUGGGCGUAAAGCGCGCGCAGGCGGUCCUUUAAGUCUGAUGUGAAAGCCCACGGCUCAACCGUGGAGGGUCAUUGGAAACUGGGGGACUUGAGUACAGAAGAGAAGAGUGGAAUUCCACGUGUAGCGGUGAAAUGCGUAGAGAUGUGAAGGAACACCAGUGGCGAAGGCGACUCUUUGGUCUGUAACUGACACUGAGGCGCGAAAGCUAGGGGAGCAAACGGG
rnacentral:rRNA from 1 species